ACCUUCUCUUCUCUUUCAUCCUUCCAUACCUUCUCAUCCAAACAUUGUCUUCUCUUUCUUUUGUAAGAAAUCAACACGCAGACACAAUAGGUCGACCCAGAGGGGUUUUUCUCUACACAUACAUGUGUCGUCUCUGCUAAUCGGGUGCUCUACAGUUGAUCGUUCACCAACACCGUCUUCUCUCUCUCUCUCUCUCUCUCUCUCUCUCUCUCUAUAUAUAUAUAUAUAUAUAUAUAUAUAUAUAUAUAUAUAUAUAUAUAUAUAUAUAUAUAUAUAUAUAUAUUCAUUAUCUGAUCCUCUAUUUUUCGCUUUUUUCUUCUGGGAUGAUCUUCUUCCCAUUCUCUCUUCUCUUUCUUUUGGAAGAAAUCGAGACACAGAGGACACCGGCUACAUGUUCGCAUCUACUCCCGCAGUCUUCCAUGGAAGCAUCUCCAAACCUGAUCACACUUCCAGGAAUUAAAAAAAGAUAAAAAAGAACGUGUUCAAUGAAUGCUACAGCCAGUAGAUGUUGGUGAUGCAUUAAUGGAUUUUGCAAUUCUGCUUUCUUAUGUUCUGUAAUUGUGUUUCAGGUUGAUUUUGGAAUUCACCCCCAGUUGGGCACUGUUUCUCACCAGUGGAGAAGAACCUGUCGACAAACCUCCGACGUUGAUGGCUGGCUUUCAUGUACGAGGGCUUUCUUAUGUGAUUAGAUGAUUUCCCUUGUCAGUGACACUUGAUUUGUUUUCUACAUUCUUAUGCAACUUUGAUGUGAACAUCAACAUAUGUCAGAUUGAAACUAAUAAAGCAGAUAAAACAUACCAAAACUGAGUUGAAGAAGCCGACAACAACUUUAGGAUCUGUUUACUUUGAUAGAGGAAUGGAAUUAUUCUUACUCAUUACAUUCCAUGAUAUAUGGUACUGAUGACCACGAUGGAGGUAUUUAAUAUCGAAGCAUAACUCUUCAGCAUCAAUUCCUAUCACAAAUUUAUUUGACAAUUUUGGAAAGAACAUACGUGAUCAUAUAACUUGUGAUAGGCAUAACUCUUCAGCAUCAAUGCCUAUCAUUAGUGGGCCAUUUAUGCUUGGGAGUUGUAGCAGGAAAGGAAGGAAAGAAGAUCCAUAGAAGAGAAAGGGGAUCCAAGAGCUAGCUUCCAUCUGCUUCAUAUUCAGCCGGGGAGUUCCGGAGCAGCAGACAGUCAGUUUCAGAUUUAGCAUCUCAGCAGCCAACGUUACGAGGUACUUCCGCUAGCAAGGGGUAGAGCUCGCGAUGAUGGCAUGGCACACACCCAGUUGCAGUUUUAUCCUGAGAGAUUGAUUUAGAUAUUUUGAUAUGAUAUUGACUUCAGUUUUGAUUUGAUACAUUUACUAUGGAAUUUUGAGACAUCUAAUGCAUGGUUUUAUUUUGACGUU